GGGCCUCCAGCUAUGCCAACCUACGUUCACCUACGAACGAUUUCUCUGGGCAUAGCAAGUCGCACAGCAACUCAUAAUCCUUUGGUCCACGGUUCGAGUCCGUGUGGGCCCACCA
rnacentral:tRNA from 1 species